rnacentral:rRNA from 1 species
GAGUUGAUCCUGGCUCAGGACGAACGCUGGCGGCGUGCUUAACACAUGCAAGUCGAGCGAUGAAACUUCUUUUAGAAGUGGAUUAGCGGCGGACGGGUGAGUAACACGUGGGCAACCUGCCCUAUAGAGGGGAAUAGCCUUUCGAAAGGAAGAUUAAUACCCCAUAAGAUUGUAGUUUCACAUGGAACAGCAAUUAAAGGAGUAAUCCGCUACAGGAUGGGCCCGCGGCGCAUUAGCUAGUUGGUGAGGUAACGGCUCACCAAGGCGACGAUGCGUAGCCGACCUGAGAGGGUGAUCGCCCACAUUGGAACUGACACACGGUCAUGACUCCUACGGUACGCUGCAGUGGCGAAUAUUGCACAAUGGGGGGAACCAUGGUGCUUGCGUGCCACGUGUGU